AUUGAACGCUGGCGGCAGGCCUAACACAUGCAAGUCGAACGAGUGGCGGACGGGUGAGUAAUGUCUGGGAAACUGCCUGAUGGAGGGGGAUAACUACUGGAAACGGUAGCUAAUACCGCAUACCAUCAGAUGUGCCCAGAUGGGAUUAGCUAGUAGGUGGGGUAACGGCGCACCUAGGCGACGAUCCCUAGCUGGUCUGAGAGGAUGACGAGCCACACGUGAAAUGGGACACGGUCCAGACUCCGACGGGAGGCAGCAGGGGGGAAAAUUGCACAAUGGGCGCAAGCCUGAUGCAGCCAUGCCGCGUGUGUGAAGAAGGCCUUGGGGUUGUAAAGCACUUUCAGCGGGGAGGCGUUACCCGCAGAAGAAGCACCGGCUAACUCCGUGCCAGCAGCCGCGGUAAUUC
rnacentral:rRNA from 1 species